GCUCUUUUGUCAGGGAAGAAACACCGGCUCUAACACAGUCCGGGAAUGACGGUACCUGAAGAAUAAGCACCGGCUAACUACGUGCCAGCAGCCGCGGUAAUACGUAGGGUGCAAGCGUUAAUCGGAAUUACUGGGCGUAAAGCGUGCGCAGGCGGUUAUACAAGACAGGCGUGAAAUCCCCGGGCUUAACCUGGGAAUGGCGCCUGUGACUGUAUAGCUAGAGUGUGUCAAAGGGGGGUAGAAUUCCACGUGUAGCAGUGAAAUGCGUAGAUAUGUGGAGGAAUACCAAUGGCGAAGGCAGCCCCCUGGGAUAACACUGAC
rnacentral:rRNA from 1 species